rnacentral:rRNA from 1 species
UACGUAGGUGGCAAGCGUUGUCCGGAUUUACUGGGCGUAAAGAGCGCGCAGGCGGUCGUUCAAGUCGCGUGUGAAAGCCCCCCGGCUCAACUGGGGAGGGUCACGCGAUACUGAUCGACUCGAAGGCAGGAGAGGGUAGUGGAAUUCCCGGUGUAGUGGUGAAAUGCGUAGAGAUGCGGAGGAACACCGAUGGCGAAGGCAGCCCCCUGGGCUGACACUGACGCUCAGGCACGAAAGCGUGGGGAGCAAACAGG